AGAGAAGCUGUACGGCGUCAGGGCCUGGCUGAGGGGCGUGAUUGGAGGGCGCCUUCGGCAUCCGCCCGCCCGCGGCAGCAGCCUCGGUCCCAGCUCGCCUGGCGGAGUUACACCAGGCAGCGGCGCGAGCUGGCUGAGCACACCGCACUGCCUGCUGGAGUCAGCCGGAGCCCUGCAGUGGCUUAGACGGUUGCUGGGACCACCAGGCGAGCUCAUUCCCCGAAGGCAGACCAGCCAGGAGUGCUGAAUGCGAAUUCAGUCACGGGCUAGGGAGCACUAACCAAAGCCUGUAGGAUGGACUUCGUCAUGAAGCAAGCCCUCGGAGGGGCCACCAAGGACAUGGGGAAGAUGCUGGGGGGAGAGGAGGAGAAGGACCCAGAUGCACAGAAGAAGGAGGAGGAGCGGCAGGAGGCCCUGAGGCAGCAGGAGGAAGAGCGCAAGGCCAAACAUGCCCGCAUGGAAGCGGAACGUGAGAAGGUCCGGCAGCAGAUUCGAGAUAAGUAUGGGCUGAAGAAGAAAGAAGAGAAGGAGGCAGAGGAGAAGGCAGCCCUGGAACAGCCCUGCGAGGGAAGCCUGACCAGACCCAAGAAGGCCAUCCCUGCAGGCUGUGGGGACGAGGAGGAGGAAGAAGAGGAGAGCAUCCUGGACACGGUGCUCAAAUAUCUGCCGGGGCCACUGCAGGACAUGUUCAAGAAGUAACCUGUCCUCUUCCGGCCCCGUCCACGUUAUGACUUUUUUUUUUUUUUUUUUUGGUGUUCCUAGUUUUUCUUUUCUUUUUUUAUUCAGUUAAGUCUCAGUUCCAAAGGGGAAAACCUCAGUCGGCCUCUGCCCCCUUUCCCUCAGCAACCCUUCACAAGCCCUUCAUCCAGGGUUUCUAGUUCUGUUUCACUCCCAAGUAGCUUGGAGAAAAAAAAAGAAGAAGACAGUUUAACUCCAGCAGGGGGCAUCGAACCCAGAGCCAAAGGCACUGGGUGCCCCCCCAGAAGCUCAUGGUCUACAUUAGUGUGGUAACACUCCCCCCCAUACAUUCCUUCAUGCUCCCCACUGCCAGGAGGACCACUGUCCCCAGCCAGCCAAAGUAAUGACACAUUCCAGCCCUGCCCAGCAUGCUGACCGUUGGCCUCUGAACCCCCAGUGGGAGUCCAGGUCAGGGCAGAGGCACCUAGUGGUCUGGCUCCAGGAAGGCUAUUCAGAAAAAGCCUGCUCUGGAGAGCCUAGCUCUGAGAGGCUCUAGCUGGGUCUAGCCAGGUUCGAAUCUGGCCUGGGCUGUCCUCUUUCCUCUUCCUGGUGCCACUGGCCAGGAACACACCUCCUCCCAACCCGACCUAAAGAAGCAUGGUUCCUGAGGAGCCGCACCCUCCAAAUGGAUCCUCUUUGGACUUUAGCACAUCUGUGGAGGAGCCCAGGGCAGGGCAACCCCUUAUCCUUUCUCAUCUGACUUAGGUCCUGGGUCCCCACUGCCAGGCUAGGCCCCAGUUUGCCCAGCCAAGGGGUUGCCCAGGCCCACAGAAAAUACUUGGAGCCAUCGGGCAGUGACGGUCUGUGCCACGAGGCCCCUCAUCGGUACGGCCAAACUGCCCCCAUUCCUGUCCACCCCUCUUCCUUCCAUGUCCCGUCCAUGUGCUUCCAAGUCCCCAUUGUCCCCAGGAGGACUCUUCUUGGCCAAAGCCCCAGAGAGCUGGGGAGAAAGAAGCCAAUUGUCACCUGGCAAAAGACUGUCCAUUCAUCCCACUGGCCAAGAGUCAGCUCUCCUCUGGGAUGAAUAGGACUGGUAUGUGUCCUCACGUACCACGCCAUCAAGGCUUCCUGCUCUGUGACUUGUGUAGAAAUGGAGGGACACGAGGGGAGGUGCAAAUGAGGGAUGAGCGUGUGAGUCCUCACACACUAGAUAAUGUAUGGCAGAUCCAUCAUACCUCUAGGUGCGGUGUGUCUCGAGAUCGUAUGUGUUCGUGUCAGUUCUGUGUUACAGGCUGUUUUACCUGAUGUACCUUGUGUAUAUGUGUUUGUGGGAUGCAGUGUGCCUGAGUUUCAAUCAUGUGCUCGGUGCGUGCCAGCUGUCCCACGUGUUUAAAGAUUGCAUGUGUUAGCUUGUAUUUGCAUGUACUUUCAAAAUGGCAUGUGUGUCAAGAGUGACAGGUUACAUGUUAGCUGCAGACAUGUGUGUGUGUGAGAGAGAGAGAACUGUCAUGUGGGCUAAGACUGGUGUUCAUGUGUGUGGGUCUAAAGCAGGCAGUUGUAGGUAAAGAAGUCAGGAAUAAGAUGCUUCCUCCCAACCCUGAGAUUGCUAGUCACAGAUGGCCACAUCCGACAGGAGACCUUACCUUGGCCUAGAGUCCUCCCACCCUUGGGGGUUUUCUACCUGAGGUCCUCAGAAUGCUACUGGGACAGACCCAGGCAGUGCCCCAGGAAGCCAUGCUGGGCCCCUACCAGGGCCUAUCCCAAAAGCAGGGGCCCGGGAGGGGGCGACUUGCUCACCCCUGAAGCCCCUGUCCCGCUGGCCCCACUCUGCAUUCUGCAAGUUUUCCAUUUUAGUGGACUUAACGCUUUUAUUUCGGAGAAGACAGACGUCUUCCCUGUCCGUUUCCAAUAGUUAAAGCCAUAUCAGUUAGACCGCAAUACUUUAAAGAUGAGACUAAACAAUCCUUAUGUGUAGGGAACCAGAAAAGUCCCCUGGUCUCUCCCUUCUCUAAGGAGCAGGGCUUCGGUAGCUCUAGCUCCCGGGACUUACCCUCCCCCACCCUCUUGGGUCCCUGUGUCAUCCCACAGAGGGCCAGUGUUUGUGUCUAUGUCUGUGGUGGGGAGCCAUCUUGCACCCCUAUUGUCUGCUUGUUUCUGUUUUUUAUCCUGGGCAGGACGGUCAUUCUCAAGAGCCCCUGGGUCCUGGGCCGAAGACAGGCAGGG
rnacentral:lncRNA from 1 species